AGCGGCGGAUGGGUGAGUAACACGUGGGGAACCUGCCCCUAAGUCUGGGAUACCAUUUGGAAACAGGUGCUAAUACCGGAUAAUAAAGCAGAUCGCAUGAUCAGCUUUUGAAAGGCGGCGUAAGCUGUCGCUAAGGGAUGGCCCCGCGGUGCAUUAGCUAGUUGGUAAGGUAACGGCUUACCAAGGCGACGAUGCAUAGCCGAGUUGAGAGACUGAUCGGCCACAUUGGGACUGAGACACGGCCCAAACUCCUACGGGAGGCAGCAGUAGGGAAUCUUCCACAAUGGACGCAAGUCUGAUGGAGCAACGCCGCGUGAGUGAAGAAGGUUUUCGGAUCGUAAAGCUCUGUUGUUGGUGAAGAAGGAUAGAGGUAGUAACUGGCCUUCAUUUGACGGUAAUCAACCAGAAAGUCACGGCUAACUACGUGCCAGCAGCCGCGGUAAUACGUAGGUGGCAAGCGUUGUCCGGAUUUAUUGGGCGUAAAGCGAGCGCAGGCGGAAAAAUAAGUCUAAUGUGAAAGCCCUCGGCUUAACCGAGGAACUGCAUCGGAAACUGUUUUUCUUGAGUGCAGAAGAGGAGAGUGGAACUCCAUGUGUAGCGGUGGAAUGCGUAGAUAUAUGGAAGAACACCAGUGGCGAAAGGCGGCUCUCUGGUCUGCAACUGACGCUGAGGCUCGAAAGCAUGGGUAGCGAACAGGAUUAGAUACCCUGGUAGUCCAUGCCGUAAACGAUGAGUGCUAAGUGU
rnacentral:rRNA from 1 species